GGGAAUUGGGAAGAAAAUAAACUACAAAUUGGUGGUUGGCAGAAGGCUUUUGAAGAAGCAGAAUUGUUACACAUGUAUACAGUCGGCAAUUGAAUUGGACAGCAGCUUCAAGGAUAAAUUGGAGUCAAACACUACGGCAAAUAUGAAGAUGGCAACCGCAAGAAAGACACGGAUUAUUGGAUUAUAAUUGAAGUUAUUCACGUUCCAUAAAUUCUUG
rnacentral:lncRNA from 1 species